ACUAUGCUUGGCCCUAAACCUCAGUAGUUAAAUAACAAAACUACUCGCCAGAAUACUACAAGCAACAGCUUAAAACUCAAAGGACUUGACGGUGCUUUACACCCCCUAGAGGAGCCUGUUCCGUAAUCGAUAAACCCCGAUCCACCCCACCCUCUCUUGCUCAGCCUAUAUACCGCCAUCUUCAGCAAACCCUGAUAAAGGCCACAAAGUGAGCGCAAACGCCACCACCGCGAAGACGUUAGGUCAAGGUGUAGCCCAUGAGACGGUAAAAAAUGGGCUACAUUUUCUAUCUCAGAAAACUCUACGAAAGCCCUUAUGAAAUCUGAGGGUCCAAGGAGGAUUUAGCAGUAAAUUAAGAAUAGAGUGCUUAAUUGAACCAGGCCAUAAAGCGCGCACACACCGCCCGUCACUCCUCUCAAAUAUAUUCAAGGAAUAUCUUAACUAAACGCCCUAAUGUUUAUAUAGAGAGGAUAAGUCGUAACAUGGUAAGCGUACUGGAAGGUGCGCUUGGAUAAAU
rnacentral:rRNA from 1 species